rnacentral:rRNA from 1 species
UUUAAAGUCUGACCUGCCCUAUGAAAUAUUUAAAUAGGCCGCGAUAUUUUGAUCGUGCAAAGGUAGCAUAAUAAUUAGUUUUUUAAUUGAGAACUGGUAUGAAAGGUCGAACGAGAAAAAAACUGUCUCAAUUUAAAUUUAAUUAGAAUUUUAUUUUUAAGUAAAAAAGCUUAAAUAUAUUUAAAAGACGAGAAGACCCUAUAGAGUUUUAUAUUUAUUGGUUUAUUUUUUAGUUUAAGAAUUUAAUUUUAAAAUUAAUUAAUAUAUAUUUAAUUGGGGUGAUUGAAAAAUUUAAUAAACUUUUUUUAAAAUUUAUUACAUUGAUUUAUGAUUAAUUGAUCCAUAAUUAAUGAUUAAAAGAUUAAAUUACCUUAGGGAUAACAGCGUAAUUUUUUUUGAGAGUUCUUAUCGAAAAAAAAGUUUGCGACCUCGAUGUUGGAUUAAAAUUAACUUUUGGUGUAGAAGCUAAAUUAUUGUUAGGUCUGUUCGACCUUUAAAAUUUU